ACAUGAAGCUGUCAGAAUGCAUGCAUUGUUAGCUUCAAAACGUCAAACUCUUUUGAGGUCAAUUGUGAAUUUUUCUUGUGUGCUUCAUGUGAAGAAUGAUAUUUUUUAUGGCUUGCAAAAUUGCUCUUUAUGUGGAGUACAAGUAAUCACUUACAGUAUGAGCAAACCCACAUGGAAUCUGCACCUGCAGAACUCCACAGGAAGACAGAAAUCAAAUAGCCAGUUUAUUAGAACAGAGCUUUUGUCUCAUGUAUCACCAUAUAUCCAUUCCAGUGUAACUGUAUAUGUAUUCAUUUCCUCACAGGCAAUAGUGGACACAGGAAAGACCAUGAGAGCCCUUCUACAGCACAUGGAGACUUUCCAGCCCAAAUGGUGAAAGCUGAAGGGCUGCUGGUUUAAGAGGGUUCCUCACGGGGCAGUGGAGCUCCCAGACUGUGAGUGAUCGAGGGUGCUCAAACACUACUUCUGGCCUGCAGAAAUGGGCCAUAAUGAAUCACAAUAUCACGCAGGGGAUAGAGAGAUUAUCUGAACAUGACUGCGAUUACUGUGAUCUGGUUAUUUAUGUUUCUCUGCAGAUGAUGGUUUUGUUAUUCCUAAUCGUGUCAUGGUGGGUUAUGCUCUGGACUACAAUGAGAGACCUCAAUCACAUCUGUGUCAUCAGUGAGAUGGGGAAACAGAAGCUCCUCUUUCAAGAGGAAUGGACAUUUACAUUACCAUAACAGAUGAAAAACUCGUUUUGCAAGAUUACUGUGAUCUCAAAUCAGAGAUAAAUCUGAUCUCUCAAAUCUGAUAUCUGUAACUGACAUGCCGAAUUAUGUUUGAAAUGUAAUAUAUUUUGCAUGAAUUGGGUAAAGUCACACAUCGCAGUACUAACGUGAUAUGAUGUGGAAAACAGACUUACUGUGUGCCAUUUUAUAUGCUGUAUAAAAGCCAAGCUGUUCAUUUUUGUCCUAUUUAGAAGAUAUUUGUUUGACAGACCAUCCAUGGCACUAUUUCACAUAAAAGAUGUUUACAUGUAGUACAAGAGACAAUAAUAGCUGAAUUUAUAAAAAUGACUCCGUUCAAAAGUUGACAUCUCCUUGAUUCUUAUUAAUGUGUUCUUACCUGAAUGUGAUAGUUGUUCAUAAGUCCCUUGUUUGUCCUGAACAGUUAAACUGCCUGCUGUUCUUCAGAAAAAUCCUUCAGGUCCCGAAAAUUAU